rnacentral:rRNA from 1 species
CAGUCGCCACGGUAAAACGGAGGGGGCUAACGUUGUUCGGAACUACUGGGCGUAAAGCGCACGUAGGCGGCUUUGUAAGUUAGAGGUGAAAGCCCGGAGCUCAACUCCGGAAUUGCCUUUAAGACUGCAGAGCUAGCAGGUGAGAGAGGUGAGUGGAAUUCCGAGUGUAGAGGUGAAAUUCGUAGAUAUUCGGAAGAACACCAGUGGCGAAGGCGGCUCACUGGACGACUGUUGACGCUGAGGUACGAAAGCGUGGGGAGCAAACAGGAUUAGAUACCCCGGUAGUCCCUGUCUCUUAUAC